CUUAUGUAAACCUAAUGUAAUGUACUACCUAAAAUACUGAAACUGUAUAUAAAUAUGGGGCACUUAGAUCUUCAGUGGGCACUGGAUCAGGGUAUUGGUGAAUGAGAUUUCCCCUUCAUAAAUUUGCUUCUGAAUAUAUCCACUGUAGGAGUCCUGCCUUCAGAGUCCAGGAAGCAGUUAAACUUUGGAAGCAGGUACAUCUCAACCCAUAGAUCCUAAAAUCCUAGACAAGGUUAUGAAGAUCUGUGCCUUCCAUCUGACCUUUUUUCUUGCCUUUCCACUGGGAACAAUGGGUCACAGACCAUCCCUCCAGACUUAUCUACCAAAAUUGCAACUAUUCAAGUGUGGGACAAACAGCUCAGCAACUGGUCACAGCAAAAAUAAAGAAAAGAUGCCCAGGGAAGGACAGCCCCUCCUUGAUGCAACUGCUAGCAGAGAACUCAACAUUGCUGAAGUGGAAGCAUACUGGAAGAGGUCUCAUCUUCUUUUUCCCAGUACCUUUUCCACCCCAUAAUCAUACACAUUGAUAGAAGCAGAAAAAUAUACAAAGCCUGUACAAAUAAGCUACACUUGAUACACUAUGAACAAAGUGGAGGAAAAACUACCAGAAAAUAUUUUAAGUUUCAAUUUGCUGCAAAGUAUUUGUCAUCAGUUAGGAAAAGAAA
rnacentral:lncRNA from 1 species